rnacentral:tRNA from 1 species
AAAGGGAGACCUAAUUCCAGUAGGAGACGAAAAAAAAGUAGUCCCUACCAAGAAUCAAUCCCAAAAGGUCGGAGCGAGGCAAAAUUGGCUUUCAAACUAGGUUCUGGGUUCACACAAGACCUGAAUCAGGAACAAGGGCUAUUAGCUCAGGUGGUUAGAGCGCACCCCUGAUAAGGGUGAGGUCCCUGGUUCGAGUCCAGGAUGGCCCACCUGCACAGGUGGAAGAAAGAAAAGAAGCUCCGAAUCAGCACCUUAUCCUACUUAUAUAGUAAGAGAGAAUGCUGGCUCUGAGUACAGAGUCCAGAGGAACCUUGAAAACUGCAUAGAGCUAGGUGAAAAAGCCAAAAAAGAAGACCGCAAG